CUGCUUUGGCAGCAUAUAUACUAAAAUUGGAAUGAUACAGGGAAGAUUAACACAGUCCCUGUGAAAGGAUGACGUGCAAAUUCAUGAAGCAUUCCAUAUUUUU